UCAAACUUGGUCAUUUAGAGGAAGUAAAAGUCGUAACAAGGUUUCCGUAGGUGAACCUGCGGAAGGAUCAUCACUGAUUCCAGGGGUGUACGGUGUGCUGCUGCGUACUGCGCGCGCGCGCCGCUCCCCAACCCAAUCCUGUGUGCACCGUUUCACGGUCAAAGAGAGACCACACGCACGUGCGCGUGGGGCCGCAUUGUGUGCGUGUGUGUGUUGGCGGCGAGGAUGGGAUUGAUUAUUCAUUCAUCCAUCCGCUGCCGCCACCAACCGCAUGCACGCGCGCGCACCCUGUGCCACGUGUGUGGUGGUGUUCUCUGUGUAUGUAAUAACUUGUGCAAUCUCCGUCUAACGAUAUACAUGCGUGCGUGCGUAUAUAUAUGCGCGCGCGCCACCUAACACACAUACAACUUUCAACAAUGGAUCUCUUGGCUCUCGCAUCGAUGAAGAACGCAGC
rnacentral:misc_RNA from 1 species